rnacentral:rRNA from 1 species
GAUGAACGCUGGCGGCGUGCCUAAUACAUGCAAGUCGAGCGAACAGACGAGGAGCUUGCUCCUCUGACGUUAGCGGCGGACGGGUGAGUAACACGUGGAUAACCUACCUAUAAGACUGGGAUAACUUCGGGAAACCGGAGCUAAUACCGGAUAAUAUAUUGAACCGCAUGGUUCAAUAGUGAAAGACGGUUUUGCUGUCACUUAUAGAUGGAUCCGCGCCGCAUUAGCUAGUUGGUAAGGUAACGGCUUACCAAGGCAACGAUGCGUAGCCGACCUGAGAGGGUGAUCGGCCACACAGGAACUGAGACACGGUCCAGACCCCUACGGGAGGCAGGAGUAGGGAAUCUUCCGCAAUGGGCGAGAGCCUGACUGAGCAACGCCGCGUGAGUGAUGAAGGUCUUCGGAUCGUAAAGCUCUGUUAUUAGGGAAGAACAAAUGUGUAAGUAACUAUGCACGUCUUGACGGAACCUAAGCAGAAAGCCACGGCUAACUACGU